rnacentral:rRNA from 1 species
AUGGCGUGGUGGUCGACGAGGAGGCUCGACGGCAUGCCUAAAGUUAACUGUGCCGGUGGGCGGUGGCCAUACCCUCACCUCCUUCCCUCCCUACACCUGCAUAAAGUUGAAUUGGAUCCAGAGUCUCCCACUACUGCCAAUCACCAUGUCCUCGACGGCCGGCUCGGGCGCAGGGAUGCAGGUCAUGGUCGGCAAGUCGUACGUCCAGAAGCUAUCCCGUGUCCGCCUCCAAUUCCACCCAGGCUAGCUAAUUUGUUUGUUCAGAAGCACAAAAAUACCAAGGUAAUUGAAUACUGUACUUGGGAACAAUUGCCCUUGAAGAUAUCUUGA